UCAGAAUGACAUCCAUUUUGAUCAAUGAGCUUGUUUUAAGCCAUUUGAUUCAGAUACUACCUGCGACAAAAACACAGAUACAGUAUGUUAUUAGAAUGGAUAGGCUAUACUCAGUUUGUCAUAGUCAACACACAAUAAGGCUUACGGAUAACAAGGUUGUUACAGGCUAGAAGAGUCCGUUCUCCAGUCCGUUCUCAAUGAGGCUGUGUCCUUUUUUGUCCCAGCCCCAUGUGUGCACUCCGUAUGGACAAUUUUCCAGCAUUCCACUACUGUCCCUUUCUACUCUCAUUGGCCAAAGUCAAGAGAAGGGCUAGGUAAUCUGGACCCCUUUGACUGCAGCCGACUGGAUUCAGAGGGUGCCGAGGACUUUGAUUGGCUGAUGCUGGAAGACUGGCAGACCAGCAGACACCUCUUCCAGUUACGUCUGAGACUCCGCCUCUUUCUCUACUCCAGCCCCUGGUCGAAUGCUCUUGAUUGACAGGUACAUCUCUUCCUCUGCAUCAUAGUAGUAGAACUUCCUCAGGUACAUGAUCAGUGGUCUGGAGAGGGAGAGGUCAAAUGAGUAACCCCUUAUGCAAAAAUAUACCUUUACAUUAUGUUUAGCAUGUGAAGUAGUUUUCUUUCUGUGUAUAACACUCUCCAUAAAAGAAAGGAAACUGAUAAUGAUGAUGGAUUGCAUUAAGUAGUAUUCUCUGUGUAUAACACUCUCCAUAAAAGAAAGGAAACUGAUGAUGAUGAUGAUGAUGAUGAUGGAUUGCAUUAAGUAGUAUUCUCUGUGUAUAACACUCCAUUAAAUAAAGGAAACUGAUAAUGAUGAUGGAUUGCAUUAAGUAGUAUUCUAUCUGUGUAUAACACUCCAUAAAAUAAAGGAAACUGAUGAUGAUGAUGAUGAUGGAUUGCAUUAAGUAGUAUUCUAUCUGUGUAUAACACUCCAUAAAAUAAAGGAAACUGAUAAUGAUGAUGGAUUGCAUUAAGUAGUAUUCUAUCUGUGUAUAACACUCCAUAAAAUAAAGGAAACUGAU